rnacentral:lncRNA from 1 species
GGUCACGGUUUCGCCAGUGCCUUCAAUCACUUCUGAGGGUUCAGGCUUCUCUUCAACAUCAACUGUUGAGCUUGCUUCAGCCGCUGAUGAGGACGCAGUCUCUUCCACAACUAGCUCCGCUUCAUCAGGUACCUAGAGCAAAGAAAUAAAUAAGUUUUAUGUAGAACCAGAGAAAUAACCAAUGGUUUAUUCCUUGAUUGGUGUAGGUGUAGGUGGGACUAAGAGCUAACUUUUCAGUAGCCUAAGAACCAGCACACAGCUCCCUAACUAACAAUGCACGAGGCCUUGCACAAUGCUGAUACCAUGAGCACAAAACCUAUGGUUCUACAUAUGGGCAAGUGUAUCAUGAAGGCAGAGAAGGGGACAUUCGUACCUGCAGUUCUUCAUCAGGCUGCACUGGAGUGUUCACUGCAGGCUCUGUGGAGGAAAGCAAGUCAUCGCUGCCACCUCCAGGCACUAGCACCUUCCCAGGAGCACCCGCGCAGCUCA